rnacentral:rRNA from 1 species
AGGCUCAGAUUGAACGCUGGCGGCAGGCCUAACACAUGCAAGUCGAGCGGAUGACAGGAGCUUGCUCCUGAAUUCAGCGGCGGACGGGUGAGUAAUGCCUAGGAAUCUGCCUGGUAGUGGGGGACAACGUUUCGAAAGGAACGCUAAUACCGCAUACGUCCUACGGGAGAAAGCAGGGGACCUUCGGGCCUUGCGCUAUCAGAUGAGCCUAGGUCGGAUUAGCUAGUUGGUGAGGUAAUGGCUCACCAAGGCGACGAUCCGUAACUGGUCUGAGAGGAUGAUCAGUCACACUGGAACUGAGACACGGUCCAGACUCCUACGGGAGGCAGCAGUGGGGAAUAUUGGACAAUGGGCGAAAGCCUGAUCCAGCCAUGCCGCGUGUGUGAAGAAGGUCUUCGGAUUGUAAAGCACUUUAAGUUGGGAGGAAGGGCAGUAAAUUAAUACUUUGCUGUUUUGACGUUACCGACAGAAUAAGCACCGGCUAACUCUGUGCCAGCAGCCGCGGUAAUACAGAGGGUGCAAGCGUUAAUCGGAAUUACUGGGCGUAAAGCGCGCGUAGGUGGUUCGUUAAGUUGGAUGUGAAAUCCCCGGGCUCAACCUGGGAACUGCAUUCAAAACUGUCGAGCUAGAGUAUGGUAGAGGGUGGUGGAAUUUCCUGUGUAGCGGUGAAAUGCGUAGAUAUAGGAAGGAACACCAGUGGCGAAGGCGACCACCUGGACUGAUACUGACACUGAGGUGCGAAAGCGUGGGGAGCAAACAGGAUUAAAUACCCUGGUAGUCCACGCCGUAAACGAUGUCAACUAGCCGUUGGGAGCCUUGAGCUCUUAGUGGCGCAGCUAACGCAUUAAGUUGACCGCCUGGGGAGUACGGCCGCAAGGUUAAAACUCAAAUGAAUUGACGGGGGCCCGCACAAGCGGUGGAGCAUGUGGUUUAAUUCGAAGCAACGCGAAGAACCUUACCAGGCCUUGACAUCCAAUGAACUUUCCAGAAAUGGAUUGGUGCCUUCGGGAACAUUGAGACAGGUGCUGCAUGGCUGUCGUCAGCUCCUGUCCUGAGAUGUUGGGUUAAGUCCCGUAACCAGCGCAACCCUUGUCCUUUGUUACCAGCACGUUAUGGUGGGCACUCUAAGGAGACUGCCGGUGACCAACCGGAGGAAGGUGGGGAUGACGUCCAGUCAUCAUGGUCCUUACGGCCUGGGCUACACACGUGCUACAAUGGUCUGUACAAAGGGUUGCCAAGCCGCGAGGUGGAGCUAAUCCCAUAAAACUGAUCGUAGUCCGGAUCGCAGUCUGCAACUCU